rnacentral:lncRNA from 1 species
AGGCAACUUCCCGGCGGGCACAUUAAUGAAAGACUUGCGGUCACGAUUAGUCAAGUAAGAAUAAUUAAUGGAUACGGCUGAAUAUUUCUUCUUGUUGCUGCUCCCCUUGUCUUUGUUUCCCUUUUUCUUGUUCUUCUCUUGUUCUUUGGAAACGUGAUACGAUGCAUCAUCAUCACCAUCUUCCGAGCUACUAGAUAGCUCACUAGAAGAAGCAUCAUACGUCUUUCUUUCUUCUUGCUUUGUUCUUGCAGCCCUUCUUUUUGCUCUUUUUUUCGCGUAUGCGCUUUCUUUCUUCUUUUCUUUUCAGCUUCUCAUCAUGCCUUUGUUGUUCUUCUUUUGCUUUUCUCCUUGCUUCUCUUCUCGCUCUUCUUUUUUUAUUUCUUUCUUUCCGCAUCGGUGGUCUUUGUCAUCUUUGAGGGUGGCAUUACUCGCUGUGGAUAGUGACAUCUCACUGCCGCUGCUUGCAUCCUCGACAAGCACAUCAUCAUCCUUUAGCUCUCGGGCGGAUCUUGAUUCUCUUCCAACUUCCAUACUUCAUGCAGUGAAGCGUAUCUAAAGUAACGAGGCUCUGAUACCACUUGUAGGAUCUCCUAGAAGUUAAAGAGGCCUAGAGGGGGGGGGGGGUGAAUAGGCCUGUAAAGAUUCAACUCAAAACUCUAUUAGAACAAAGGGCGGCACUGUCGGCCUUCAAAUAAAAUACAAAGGUGGUACAACU